UACGUAGGGUGCGAGCGUUAAUCGGAAUUACUGGGCGUAAAGCGUGCGCAGGCGGCUUUGCAAGACAGAUGUGAAAUCCCCGGGCUUAACUUGGGAACUGCAUUUGUGACUGCAUCGCUAGAGUGCGGCAGAGGGGGAUGGAAUUCCGCGUGUAGCAGUGAAAUGCGUAGAUAUGCGGAGGAACACCGAUGGCGAAGGCAGUCCCCUGGGCCUGCACUGACGCUCAUGCACGAAAGCGUGGGGAGCAAACAGGAUUAGAAACCCCUGUAGUCC
rnacentral:rRNA from 1 species